AACGCACAUUGCGCCCGCCAGUAUUCUGGCGGGCAUGCCUGUUCGAGCGUCAUUUCAACCAUCAAGCCCUGCUUGUGUUGGGGUCCUGCGGCUGCCCGCAGGCCCUGAAAACCAGUGGCGGGCUCGCUAGUCACACCGAGCGCAGUAGCACAUCUCGCUCUGGGCGUGCGGCGGGUUCUUGCCGUAAAACACCCCCUUUUUACCAAGGUUGACCUCGGAUCAGGUAGGAAUACCCGCUGAACUUAA
rnacentral:misc_RNA from 1 species